AUCCAGACUUCUAACGAGAGGAAGAACUUGCUGACAUCAAAGAUAAUACGACAUCGAUUUUAUUUGGCCUCCUUUGUUUUUUUCUCUUUUGUUUUCUCCCUCUUUUUUUUCUUUCUUCUUUUUGCUAUUGUUGGCAUUUUAUUUAA
rnacentral:ribozyme from 1 species